GUCUACGGCCAUACCACCCUGAACGCGCCCGAUCUCGUCCGAUCUCGGAAGCUAAGCAGGGUCGGGCCUGGUUAGUACUUGGAUGGGAAAGCGCGGAGGAGCUUGCAGUUCGCUCUCCAGACG
rnacentral:rRNA from 1 species